rnacentral:rRNA from 1 species
GUGAAACCGGUGAGGAGGAAACGGAUAGAGUCGGCGUAUCUUGCAAGUAUUCAAUUACUUUAUUAUUGUGUUGUUAUCUCUGAGCUCCAGAUUGGGACAGAGGAAAGCAGCAUGAUUUAAUGUGAUGCAUUUACUUGUCUGGUGUGUGGGGGUAUCUAAGAUGGAUUUGCAACCAAUGUUUUGAGGCCAGCUUGCUGGUACCCAAACAUUGUUAACAUUUUUUAUCUUGGAUAUUCGAGUACGGCUUACGUGCAUUUUUUGUAUUGAUCUAAGUGCAAGUUACGGUCGCAUGCGACACGUGCUUUUCAUUUAGUUCGGUGCAGUUAAUGCUCUCGUACUCUCCCCCCAUGUAAAAGCCGGUCAUCUAUUUGACCCGUCUUGAAACACGGACCAAGGAGUUUAUCGUGUGCGCAAGUUUUUGGGUGUUAAAAACCUAGAAGCGAAAUGAAAGUAAAUGAUUCUUUAGAGUCUGAUGUGCAAUCUUUUUUCAGAAAAGUGCAUCAUGGCCCCAUUCUAACUGUUUACAGUAGGGUGGCGGAAGAGCGUACGCGGUGAGACCCGAAAGAUGGUGAACUAUUCCUGAGCAGGACGAAGCCAGA